GAGACCCAAACUGGUGGGACCCACAUUCUAAACGAGUGCCAAUCCUUGAAACUUAACUGUAUUGGCACAAGGGAGUCGCUGACUGAAUGAUCCACAAGCCUGCCAGCGGGACGCCCCAAGGUGGCUGCUUGCAACACUGCCCUCCACCAUUGGUGAGUCCUGUGCUACAUGCAGUCACGCGAGUAAUGGCUAACCCCACCCUUCCCUGCAUAGCCUGUGACUUCCUGCAGCAGGAACUGCCAGGGCGUGGAACCAGGUUAGGGGAACUGCGCAACAGCACCACUUACUGACUUCUUGGCUCAGCAUAGUGGCAGUGAAGUUGCAAAGCUGCUCAGCACACAAGACUUGGACACAAGCACCCCAAGACAUUGGGUCCUCUGAGGGCCGUCGCCCCGACUGUCGGCACCCAAGUCACCGCAACCACCGCCGCUGCCCAUACCGCCCACACCAUCCACAUUCUUGCCGCCAUUGCUGCAGUGGUGGUGAAGGUGGUGGUGGUGGUACUUUGGCCUACCCUCACGUCAUUACCAUGCACGCCUGCAAUAGAAAAUACAAAUCAGUAACGUUAUUUAGGUCUUGAUAAAUAACUCCUUAAAUUCCUGACACAGUUCAGCAAAAAUCUGCGUAGGUAUCAUGGUUACAUAAUUUUCGUCCACCUUAAGUAAAAUAAAUGCAUUAACUUUACAUCUUUCAUGGGUGAACUGCUGAAGGAUAUCUUACAACUUGAUUGUUCAAACAAAGAACCGAUUAUCUGUUAAUCAAGUCUUCUAGACACGAAUACACCUCUCAUCUUUGCUCAACGCAGGUAAAUAUCAUGAUAUAAAGAUGCACAUAUAUUAAGUCUGAAGUUCAGGUGCUGAAAAGAAUAAAUAUUUUCCCCUGUAAAAA